rnacentral:rRNA from 1 species
GUCUAGUAUAGCAUUAUACCGUGAAACUGCGAAUGGCUCAUUAAAUCAGUUAUCGUUUAUUUGAUAGUACCUUACUACUUGGAUAACCGUGGUAAUUCUAGAGCUAAUACAUGCUGAAAACCCCAACUUCGGGAGGGGUGUAUUUAUUAGAUAAAAAACCAACGCCCUUCGGGGCUUCUUGGUGAUUCAUGAUAACUUUACGGAUCGCAUGGCCUUGCGCCGGCGACGGUUCAUUCAAAUUUCUGCCCUAUCAACUUUCGAUGGUAAGGUAUUGGCUUACCAUGGUUUCAACGGGUAACGGGGAAUUAGGGUUCGAUUCCGGAGAGGGAGCCUGAGAAACGGCUACCACAUCCAAGGAAGGCAGCAGGCGCGCAAAUUACCCAAUCCCGACACGGGGAGGUAGUGACAAUAAAUACUGAUACAGGGCUCUUUUGGGUCUUGUAAUUGGAAUGAGUACAAUUUAAACCUCUUAACGAGGAACAAUUGGAGGGCAAGUCUGGUGCCAGCAGCCGCGGUAAUUCCAGCUCCAAUAGCGUAUAUUAAAGUUGUUGCAGUUAAAAAGCUCGUAGUUGAACCUUGGGUCUGGCUGGCAGGUCCGCCUCACCGCGUGUACUUGUCCGGCCGGGCCUUCCUUCUGGAGAACCUCAUGCCCUUCACUGGGCGUGUUGGGGACCAGGACUUUUACUUUGAAAAAAUUAGAGUGUUCAAAGCAGGCCUUUGCUCGAAUACGUUAGCAUGGAAUAAUAGAAUAGGACGUGCGGUCCUAUUUUGUUGGUUUCUAGGACCGCCGUAAUGAUUAAUAGGGACAGUCGGGGGCAUCAGUAUUCAAUUGUCAGAGGUGAAAUUCUUGGAUUUAUUGAAGACUAACUACUGCGAAAGCAUUUGCCAAGGAUGUUUUCAUUAAUCAGUGAACGAAAGUUAGGGGAUCGAAGACGAUCAGAUACCGUCGUAGUCUUAACCGUAAACUAUGCCGACUAGGGAUCGGGCGAUGUUCUUUUUCUGACUCGCUCGGCACCUUACGAGAAAUCAAAGUUUUUGGGUCUGGGGAG